rnacentral:piRNA from 1 species
UUGCAGUUUAGUUCUAAGAUUAGAACUAGU